rnacentral:tRNA from 1 species
UGAUAGCUCAGCUGGAUAGAGUGUCUGACUACGAAUCAGAAGGUCGGGGGUUCGAGUCCCUUUCA